AUACAGAGGGUGCAAGCGUUAAUCGGAAUUACUGGGCGUAAAGGGCACGUAGGCGGUCAAGCAAGUUGGUGGUGAAAGCCCUCGGCUCAACCGAGGAAUUGCCCUCAAAACUGCUCGACUUGAGUCCCUGAGAGGGUGGCGGAAUUCCCAGUGUAGCGGUGAAAUGCGUAGAUAUUGGGAGGAACACCAGUGGCGAAGGCGGUCACCUGGACGGGUACUGACGCUGAGGUGCGAAAGCGUGGGGAGCAAACAGCAUUAGAAACCCCAGUAGUCC
rnacentral:rRNA from 1 species